AGGACGAACGCUGGCGGCGUGCUUAACACAUGCAAGUCGAACGGUGAAGCCCUUCGGGGUGGAUCAGUGGCGAACGGGUGAGUAACACGUGAGCAAUCUGCCCUUGACUCUGGGAUAACUUCGGGAAACCGGAGCUAAUACCGGAUACGACGCACGGAGGCAUCUCCUGUGUGUGGAAAGAUUUAUCGGUCAGGGAUGAGCUCGCGGCCUAUCAGCUAGUUGGUGAGGUAAUGGCUCACCAAGGCGACGACGGGUAGCCGGCCUGAGAGGGCGAUCGGCCACACUGGGACUGAGACACGGCCCAGACUCCUACGGGAGGCAGCAGUGGGGAAUAGUUGCGCAAUGGGCGGAAGCCUGACGCAGCGACGCCGCGUGAGGGAUGA
rnacentral:rRNA from 1 species